GUGCCCUUGAGGCGUGGCUUCCGGAGCUAACGCGUUAAAUCGACCGCCUGGGGAGUACGGCCGCAAGGUUAAAACUCAAAUGAAUUGACGGGGGCCCGCACAAGCGGUGGAGCAUGUGGUUUAAUUCGAUGCAACGCGAAGAACCUUACCUGGUCUUGACAUCCACAGAACUUUCCAGAGAUGGAUUGGUGCCUUCGGGAACUGUGAGACAGGUGCUGCAUGGCUGUCGUCAGCUCGUGUUGUGAAAUGUUGGGUUAAGUCCCGCAACGAGCGCAACCCUUAUCCUUUGUUGCCAGCGGUCCGGCCGGGAACUCAAAGGAGACUGCCAGUGAUAAACUGGAGGAAGGUGGGGAUGACGUCAAGUCAUCAUGGCCCUUACGACCAGGGCUACACACGUGCUACAAUGGCAUAUACAAAGAGAAGCGACCUCGCGAGAGCAAGCGGACCUCAUAAAGUAUGUCGUAGUCCGGAUUGGAGUCUGCAACUCGACUCCAUGAAGUCGGAAUCGCUAGUAAUCGUAGAUCAGAAUGCUACGGUGAAUACGUUCCCGGGCCUUGUACACACCGCCCGUCACACCAUGGGAGUGGGUUGCAAAAGAAGUAGGUAGCUUAACCUUCGGGAGGGCGCUUACCACUUUGUGAUUCAUGACUGGGGUGAAGUCGUAACA
rnacentral:rRNA from 1 species